UGGGGAAUAUUGCACAAUGGGCGCAAGCCUGAUGCAGCCAUGCCGCGUGUAUGAAGAAGGCCUUCGGGUUGUAAAGUACUUUCAGCGGGGAGGAAGGUGUUGAGGCUAAUAACCUCAGCAAUUGACGUUACCCGCAGAAGAAGCACCGGCUAACUCCGUGCCAGCAGCCGCGGUAAUACGGAGGGUGCAAGCGUUAAUCGGAAUUACUGGGCGUAAAGCGCACGCAGGCGGUCUGUCAAUUCGGAUGUGAAAUCCCCGGGCUCAACCUGGGAACUGCAUUCGAAACUGGCAGGCUAGAGUCUUGUAGAGGGGGGUAGAAUUCCAGGUGUAGCGGUGAAAUGCGUAGAGAUCUGGAGGAAUACCGGUGGCGAAGGCGGCCCCCUGGACAAAGACUGACGCUCAGGUGCGAAAGCGUGGGGAGCAAACA
rnacentral:rRNA from 1 species